rnacentral:misc_RNA from 1 species
UCUUAUUAACACAUAACCUAACUUUUUAUAACUUGAAAUAAUUGUUCUGAUGAAGAAUAUAUAGAUUGCAAAGGUCCGUGGCAACCACCGAUAGAUCAAGUUUAUAAAAUUUACUCGGCUCUAUCGAAAGGCGAACUUCCAGAAUUGCAUUGGAAAAGUCCUGGCUAUAAAUCGGCAACUCCCGAGAUUCAACCUAAUAUAUCAUCGGAAGAAAUAAACGAAGUAAAACAGGAAGAAGACAAAACCCAUUUUGAUUUCUUGGAGGAUGUUGCUUUACCGAGAUUAAAAAUUAGAAAAGAUGGAGAAGAUGCUUUAAAAGGAAGUGCUAAAAAGAAGACCACUUCUUUGGAUAGUAUUAUUAAUAAUAUGAAAAGGCAUAAAAUGUUACCGCAAUCUCAAGAUCCAUGAUUUAAUAUAAGAUGUAUAAAGUUAUAUAAAAUUUAACGUAUUUUUAAUUUA